UGAACCUGCGGAAGGAUCAUUAUUG
rnacentral:ncRNA from 2 species